rnacentral:lncRNA from 1 species
GGCCUUUGUCGACGGCGGCAUUCCUUCCCACCACUCGUUCUCCCCAAUUAUCUGCUCCAGUUUUGGCAUCCUCCCCACCGGAAGCCUUCUGAGGUUUGGGCACCGCUCCACCUUAAUGUUCUGCAAGCAAGGCAAGUCCUCCGUUUGGCUGAUGCUCCUCAGCUUGCGCAGGUCGCUCAGCACCACGGAUCUCAGCUUCGGAAACCCAUCCCUUCUCUGUUCACAUGCUUCGACACCCUUUUCCUCCACCUCGGGUACGCCGUUGGUUCUCGUGGAAGCCCCAUCACACCCCUCGUGUACGACCUCUUCCAAUUCGUCGCACUGGGAGAUGACGAGCCGCUCGAGGGAUUCCAGGCGUAGCACCCACGACACGUUGCGUAAUUUGGGGCAUGACUUGAUGGUGAG